UACAGAGGGUGCUAGCGUUACUCGGAUUUACUGGGCGUAAAGCGUGUGUAGGCGGUUCGUUAAGUCGGAUGUGAAAGCCCUGGGCUCAACCUAGGAAUUGCAUUCGAUACUGGCGGGCUAGAGUACGGUAGAGGGCGGCGGAAUUCCGGGUGUAGCGGUGAAAUGCGUAGAUAUCCGGAGGAACACCGAUGGCGAAGGCAACCGCCUGGGCCUGUACUGACGCUGAGACACGAAAGCGUGGGGAGCAAACAGG
rnacentral:rRNA from 1 species